AUGCUUGAUGCGAUGGAGGUUGCGGCACGGCGGCCGACGGGAGCAUGCAAGUGGGUGAUGGUCGUAGCAAGGCGAUGUCGCACGGUCGCUCGGCGUGCAGUACGGCCCGGUGGUGCCGGACUGCCGGUGCGGCACAUAUCUGUAGCGGAGCGUGGAAGUUCGGUUGAUGUGCGCAGCAAGCGUGACACUGGCACAACUGCGGCACACCGCUUGACCUUUUGCCGCCGUGUGUAUUUUCUUUUUGUGUGCGUAUUGGACGUACAAUUUUUGAUAGAUUAUACCAUCUUGUCCACCUACAGAAUUAGCUAG
rnacentral:rRNA from 1 species